rnacentral:lncRNA from 1 species
CCCGCCACAACCCCACGCCCCAACCCCCUCGGACAUGACCCUAACCACCCAUUACCACCCACAGCCACAACUACACAAAAAAAUAGGAAAAUAUAAGGAUAUACCCGGUGGCAAUAUCAAAGCAGCAGCAAGGAGAUACAAGGCACACACACGUUCAAAGGAAUACUCCCGAAGCAAAACUAAGAAGCGACCACAGCAACAGCAACAACAGACAAC